rnacentral:rRNA from 1 species
GACGAACGCUGGCGGCGUGCUUAACACAUGCAAGUCGAACGGAAAGGCCCUGCUUUUGUGGGGUGCUCGAGUGGCGAACGGGUGAGUAACACGUGAGUAACCUGCCCUUGACUUUGGGAUAACUUCAGGAAACUGGGGCUAAUACCGGAUAGGAGCUCCUGCCGCAUGGUGGGGGUUGGAAAGUUUCGGCGGUUGGGGGUGGACUCGCGGCUUAUCAGCUUGUUGGUGGGGUAGUGGCUUACCAAGGCUUUGACGGGUAGCCGGCCUGAGAGGGUGACCGGCCACAUUGGGACUGAGAUACGGCCCAGACUCCUACGGGAGGCAGCAGUGGGGAAUAUUGCACAAUGGGCGGAAGCCUGAUGCAGCAACGCCGCGUGCGGGAUGACGGCCUUCGGGUUGUAAACCGCUUUCGCCUGUGACGAAGCGUGAGUGACGGUAAUGGGUAAAGAAGCACCGGCUAACUACGUG